UUUGUAUUACGUGCGAAAAUUGUUACCAUUUUAGGCUCAAAAAUGGUAACAAUUUGCGCACGUAAUACAAA
rnacentral:miRNA from 1 species